rnacentral:tmRNA from 1 species
GGGGCUGGCAGUGGCCGGGAUUAAUGUGCUUGGGGACGUGGUUGCUUACCGCGUACCAUUGAGAGUCCGGUCGAACGUCGGCCGGGGUGCGAGGGGCUGAACGGUUUCGACUUCGCGCAUCGAAUCAAGGGAAGCGUGCCGGUGCAGGCAAAUGACCACCGUAAGCGUCGUUGCAACCAAUUAAGCGCCGAUUCUCAUCAGCGCGACUACGCCCUCGCUGCCUAAGCGACGGUGUGUCUGUCAGACCGGGAGCGCCCUCGGCCCGGACCCUGGCAUCAGCUAGAGGGACCCACCCACGGGUUCGGUCGCGGAAUCCAUGGGGACAUCAAACAGCGACUGGGAUCGUCAUCCUGACUUGUUCGCGUGAGCAGGAGAUCCAAGUAGAGACAUAGCGAACUGCGCACGGAGAAGCCUCGAGGGAAUGCCGUAGGACCCGGGUUCAAUUCCCGGCAGCUCCACC